UACGUAGGGUGCGAGCGUUGCCCGGAUUUAUUGGGCGUAAAGGGCGCGUAGGCGGCCACGCACGUCCGUUGUGAAAUCGCCCGGCUCAACUGGGCGGGGUCGGCGGAUACGGCGUGGCUGGAGCAAGCUAGGGGGCAAUGGAAUUCCCGGUGUAGUGGUGGAAUUCGUAGAUAUCGGGAGGAACACCAGUGGCGAAGGCGGCUCUCUGGGCAAUGACCGACGCUGAGACGCGAAAGCGUGGGAAGCAAACAGG
rnacentral:rRNA from 1 species